GAGGUUACUGCUAUCGAGGUUCGACUAAGCCAUGCGAGUCGAAUGCCGCAAGGCAUGGCGUACUGCUCAGUAACACGUGGACAACCUACCCUCAGGACGGGGAUAAACCCGGGAAACUGGGUAUAAUACCCGAUAGUCCUCGGGAGCUGGAAUGCGCCGAGGGCGAAAGCUCCGGUGCCUGAGGAUGGGUCUGCGGCCUAUCAGGUAGUAGUGGGUGUAACGUACCUACUAGCCUACGACGGGUACGGGUUGUGGGAGCAAGAGCCCGGAGAUGGAUUCUGAGACACGAAUCCAGGCCCUACGGGGUGCAGCAGGCGCGAAAACUUUACAAUGCUGGCAACAGCGAUAAGGGGACCUCGAGUGCCAGGUUACAAAUCUGGCUGUCGUGAUGCCUAAAAAGCAUUGCAUAGCAAGGGCCGGGCAAGACCGGUGCCAGCCGCCGCGGUAACACCGGCGGCUCGAGUGGUAACCGUUAUUAUUGGGUCUAAAGGGUCUGUAGCCGGCCGGAUAAGUCUC
rnacentral:rRNA from 1 species